rnacentral:lncRNA from 1 species
CUGAGAUGGAUCAUGGUGAAAGAGAGUAAAUAAAGUCUUUUAGAAAUUGGGCUUAUGUGUAGUUAGUAAGGGAAAAUUUGAAAAGUUUGUUCUAGCCAAAGGAGGAGUAAGGAACUAAUCAAAUUUGGCAAAAGCAAAACUGAGAGGAAAUAUGAUAGAUGUUCUAAAGUACAUCCAACAUUAAGGACAAGAGAGUUAGUUGUGCCAAAGGAAAAAGUAGGAAAUAGAAAAUCUAUCCACAGAGAAAUUAGAGAAAUAUUUCUAAGUAUUGCAAGAAUUAAACUGUGGAAGAAUCUCUGGAAAUGAAAACCUAUCAAGUUUAAAGUAAUUUGUGGUCUCCAAACCUGGAAGUGCUGGGGCGAGAGGUGAGAGGAGGGAAGAAGCAAAGCAUUGAGAGGUGAGAAAAAGAUGCAGUGGAAGUUAAAGCAGCUUGACCCAAGGAGACACCGAUCUGUGUAAUGUAA